rnacentral:rRNA from 1 species
AUUUAUUUUAUCGUGCAUCAAAGUAUUUUAUUUGUUUGUUUGCAUGAGUCCAAGCCAUAAUGUAUAUGGUUUUGUCAAACUUGAGAGUUUGAUCCUGGCUCAGAACGAACGCUGGCGGCAAGCCUAACACAUGCAAGUCGAACGGACAAUUAUUUAUAGCCUCUGGCUAUAGGAAAUUGUUAGUGGCAGACGGGUGAGUAAUGCGUAGGAAUCUACCUAGUAGUACGGAAUAGCCAUUAGAAAUGGUGGGUAAUACUGUAUAAUCCCCGAGGGGGAAAGAUUUAUCGCUAUUAGAUGAGCCUACGUUAGAUUAGCUAGUUGGUGAGGUAAUGGCUUACCAAGGCUAUGAUCUAUAGCUGGUCUGAGAGGACGAUCAGCCACACUGGAACUGAGAUACGGUCCAGACUCCUACGGGAGGCAGCAGUGGGGAAUAUUGGACAAUGGGCGAAAGCCUGAUCCAGCUAUGCCGCGUGAGUGAAGAAGGCCUUCGGGUUGUAAAACUCUUUCAAUAGGGAAGAUAAUGACGGUACCUAUAGAAGAAGUCCCGGCAAACUCUGUGCCAGCAGCCGCGGUAAUACGGAGGGGGCAAGCGUUGUUCGGAAUUAUUGGGCGUAAAGGGCACGUAGGUGGACUAGUAAGUUAAAAGUGAAAUACCAAAGCUUAACUUUGGAGCGGCUUUUAAUACUGCUAGACUAGAGGUCGAAAGAGGAUAGCGGAAUUCCUAGUGUAGAGGUGAAAUUCGUAGAUAUUAGGAGGAACACCAGUGGCGAAGGCGGCUAUCUGGUUCGAUACUGACACUGAGGUGCGAAAGCGUGGGGAGCAAACAGGAUUAGAUACCCUGGUAGUCCACGCUGUAAACGAUGAGUGCUAAAUGUGAGGAUUUUAUCUUUGUAUUGUAGCUAACGCGUUAAGCACUCCGCCUGGGGACUACGGUCGCAAGACUAAAACUCAAAGGAAUUGACGGGGACCCGCACAAGCGGUGGAGCAUGUGGUUUAAUUCGAUGCUACGCGAAAAACCUUACCACUUUUUGACAUGAAGGUCGUAUCCCUCCUAACAGGGGGAGUCAGUUCGGCUGGACCUUACACAGGUGCUGCAUGGUUGUCGUCAGCUCGUGUCGUGAGAUGUUGGGUUAAGUCCCGCAACGAGCGCAACCCUCAUUCUUAGUUACCAACAGGUAAUGCUGGGCACUCUAAGGAAACUGCCAGUGAUAAACUGGAGGAAGGUGGGGAUGAUGUCAAAUCAGCACGGCCCUUAUAGGGUGGGCUACACACGUGCUACAAUGGCAACUACAAUAGGUUGCGAGACCGCAAGGUUUAGCUAAUCCAUAAAAGUUGUCUCAGUUCGGAUUGUUCUCUGAAACUCGAGAGCAUGAAGUCGGAAUCGCUAGUAAUCGUGGAUCAUCACGCCACGGUGAAUACGUUCUCGGGUCUUGUACACACUGCCCGUCACGCCAUGGGAAUUGGCUUAACUCGAAGCUGGUGUGCUAACCGCAAGGAAGCAGCCAUUUAAGGUUGGGUUAGUGACUAGGGUGAAGUCGUAACAAGGUAGCUGUAGGUGAACCUGCGGCUGGAUUACCUCCUUUUAGGCUUUCUUAUCGUAUAUUAUUUUUUAGUAAUGUUUUU